ACUAGUUCACACUGAAUGCAUCUGGUGAACAUGUCAUCCCAGUGUUGUCUUCAGUGCAGUAGUACUGCUCCUGCAGAUACUUCCUGUCAGAUUUCUGUCCUGUAGACUUAUCACUCAGACAGGCAUUAAAGUGAACGGUGGCUUUAAACCUGGAAGAGAGGAGCACCAGGGACAGAGCCAAGGCGACGACAGAGAACGGGACACUUUCACUCUCUUCUGGGAGGAUGAACGGGAUGACGAUGCGGUUUCUUCCUGGUGGACCAUGUUUUGUUGAGAGAGACUUAAAUGUUUCCCACACACCGUCAUUUGGCUGCAGAGGGCUAACAAUGAUGUUUGGGAUGUUCCGUCCUUUAGCUUUCUUCAGUGAGUUCCAGUAGUCUGGCAGGUUCAGGGGUUGAUAUUUGUCAAAAAGAAUUCUACUGUGGAGAAAAAACGGUAGUGAACGGUAAAAAACUCUGUGCUGUGGCCUCAUUUUUCCUGUUGCAAUGCCAUAGGUUACAGCACCAGUGGUGCCACAGUUCCAGGGAGAGUACAGGACCAGGUCAGUGAUGGUGGGCAGAGGCAGCAAACAGCUGGCUGGGAUCAUGGAGUCUCUGAUUGAUCCAUGUGCCACAAAGAUUAUGUCAACAGUGUCACUGUGGUUCUUCUUUUCUUCUUCAUCAAUUUUACUUUUCAGGAAAUCAAACAUGUCUGAGAGUUUUCUGAAGGUGCCAGACUCUGAAUUUUCUCUCAGCCACUGCAGGACAGUUUCAUCUUUGCAGUUUUCUAUUGCAAGGUUUAUUAAUCUUUUCCUUUCAGCAGAGCUCCUGGGACUUUCAGGGCGACAUGCAGCAUUCCGAUUUGCCCUUUUAUUAGAAAAGAACAAAGAACGAAGAUUAGCAAGUGCAGACAGCUUUGACUGGAUCAGUGUGAUACUAAAGAAAACUGAACCUUUAAGUGUCUGAGUGAGAUCAUAA
ensembl:lncRNA